rnacentral:rRNA from 1 species
AUUGAACGCUAGCGGCAGGCUUAACACAUGCAAGUCGAGCGAGCGGCGGACGGGUGAGUAAUGUAUGGGGAGGUGCCUGGUGGAGGGGGAUAACUACUGGAAACGGUAGCUAAUACCGCAUACCAUCAGAGUGGCCCAUAUGGGAUUAGCUUGUAGGUGGGGUAACGGCUCACCUAGGAGACGAUCCGUAGCUGGUGUGAGAGGAUGAUAAGCCACACUGGGACUGAGACACGUCCCAGACUCCUACGGGAGGCAGCAGUGGUGAAUUGUGGACAAUGGGGGCAAGCCUGAUGCAGCCAUGCCGCGUGUAUGAAGAAGGCCUUCGGGUUGUAAAGUACUUUCAGUCGGGAGGCGUUACCGGCAGAAGAAGCACCGGCUAACUCCGUGCCAGCAGCCGCGGUAAUUC